GUGCCAGCAGCCGCGGUAAUACAUAGGGGUCAAGCGUUGUCCGGAUUUAUUGGGCGUAAAGAGCUCGUAGGCGGUUCAACAAGUCGGUCGUAAAAGUUUAGGGCUCAACCCUAAAAUGUCGAUCGAUACUGUUGUGACUAGGAUACGGUAGAGGUGAAUGGAAUUCCGAGUGUAGCGGUGAAAUUCGUAGAUAUUAGAAAGAAUACCAAUUGCGAAGGCACUUUACUGGGCUAUUACUGACACUCAGAGACGAAAGCUAGGGGAGCAAACAGGAUUAGAUA
rnacentral:rRNA from 1 species